ACGGUGUCAGUCAGAAAAAAGCAGACCGCGGAAGAGGUACUUUUUCGCCAAGAGGUUAGUGCGGAAAGUUUAAACGGCCGGAAGACAACCCGGAGCGGUUCGCUGUCGUGUCCAGUGAAGGGGACAAAUCAGGCCAACAACGAACGAUUGCGCGCGACUCGGUAAGCGUUGGCGAAAUACUGGUGACGGGCCAUCGAAGUCAGAAAGCCGCUCGGACAGUACGACAUUUCCACGUGGGGAAGUUAACCUCAAACGGUUCGCCGGCAACGCAACCGGUGGAGAUUGGCAAACAAGGACCAAUAAACCGAUAAGGACUGAGGAUUAGCGAUCAACUAUUUGCUCAAGCGGCAUAAAAAACGAUUCACACAGAUCGUCGGCAACAAGUGCAAAAGGUUGCGCGAAAGCACCGCGCGGAAAAGGCCUUCCAAAGGAAGGCCUUUAUUUUCAGGUCUGAAUCAGAGCGUACGGACAGCAAGCGGGUUCGGUCAGAAACUACGAGGAAAGACGGCAGUACAGAACGAAUCGAUCGGCUCUGAGUCUUCGACGACGACUAUACGUCACACCAGCACGGAGGAUAAGUUAUCCGCGGGAGCACGACGGCGCGGCCCAUUGGUAGGAAAGUCGAUUCGACCGCAUUCGUAAGCGCCGAUCGCGAGUGUGGGUGGCGGAAGUGCCUUAAUGAUGGGUGCGAACUGCAGUAUGCAUCUCCGGGAAAAAACGGCGUGGCGGACAUGGUAGGGGUGCACCCACAGCAAGGGUGAGUAAGAAGAAAAGAGAAUAGGUAGAAUAAGUAGAUAGAGGAGAAAAGAGAACAGAAGGAGUAAUGAGUAGAAUAAGACGCAGAUAAAGCAGGGCAAUGGAAGGAGAAUAAAGU